rnacentral:rRNA from 1 species
UACGUAGGGCGCAAGCGUUAAUCGGAAUUACUGGGCGUAAAGCGUGCGCAGGCGGUUAUGUAAGACAGUUGUGAAAUCCCCGGGCUCAACCUGGGAACUGCAUCUGUGACUGCAUAGCUAGAGUACGGUAGAGGGGGAUGGAAUUCCGGGUGUAGCGGUGGAAUGCGUAGAGAUCCGGAAGAACACCGGUGGCGAAGGCGGUCUGCUGGGCCAAGACUGACGCUGAGGCGCGACAGCGUGGGGAGCAAACAGG